ACCCUAGGAGAGGAGCUUGAGGGCGCUCUAGCCUACUCCUUAAUGGAUUGGAGAGGCAUGACGGAAGCCGCUGAGGUUGUCUUGCUCACGCCUCUCGAGUCAAAGGAAAAAACCGGGCGUGAUGACCCAUGCAUGCAAUCCCAGCAGUCGGGAGGCUGGACCAUAGCGAGAUCCAAGCCAGCCUGGGGUACACAGCGAAGACACCGACUCAAAAACAAUAAGUAAAUAAGAGGAAGUCCGACAGGUAUCCAGCGUCAUCUUCAGUUCGGGAGAGGGAAGCCCAGAAAGCUUAUUAGUCAAAGUGAGGGACCGGGCGGAAGUGCGGCUUCAGGUUCCCCUCUCCAACAUGGCCUCCAGGGCCGGAAGGAGAUGAUUUCUGGCCACGCCUCUUCCGCUCUGUGAGGCCAGCCAAUUAGAGCAGGCCGUUAAGCUUGCGCAACGCCUCGCCCGCCUAGCUCUAGCGGCCCCAGCACGGCGACCUCUGUAGCACCUGUUGCCAUGACUCCUCCCCCUCGGUCUCCCCAACCCGCUCGCAGGAGGCGGGCCGGGGCGGGCUUUUGCUGAGCUCCGCCCCCCUGAGCCUUUGCGGGACUCGGCCUCUAGGUGCUUCACCUCUGGCUGCCAGAGCCGGGGAAGGGCGCCCUAGGGCAGAGGCGGACGCCCCAGCGCUGCAGAGAGAAAGUGACGAGCCGCCCUUCGUUGUCAGCCAGGAACGCGGACACAGCGGCGCUCCCACCCUGCUGCUGUCGAUCCCUAGGCCGCCGCGAUGGCAGCUGCCGGCGCCCGAGGCCUGCGGGCCACCUACCACCGACUCAUGGAUAAAGUGGAGUUGUUGCUGCCAAAGAAAUUGAGGCCGCUUUACAACCACCCGGCAGGUAAUGAAUCCUGAACGGCUCGCACGGAGAUCGUUCCUCUCCCUCCGAAACCGGGACAUUAGAGGCCCUGUGACAGUUGAGUUGCUACCGGAAUCCCAGAGCCCUCAUCUCGCCACUGAAGGGAAUCCAUCAAUUCUCCUAGUCUUUCACCUUGUUUCAUCUUAGGUCUCUUUCCAAAAACCGAGUAUCAGCACCCAGUGCCCUUGUUGACUUUUGAUGUCUUCGCUCCCUUAAACACUGCUCACACUCCCGACCUCUCCUCCAGACUUGAACCUUACUUAACUCCUGAGAGCCACGAAGGGGUCUUGGGCCACCAUGAAACCCUCCUUCUCCUCCCCUUUCUCCCUCCGUGAAUUUCUAACGCACACGUGGGGUAGAGCUGAAAAGGUGUCUGUCUGGUCUCAGCAGAGGGUUUGGAGUAAAGGUCAUACUUUAGUUCCUCUUGGCAGAGGCCUGCUAAGUGAGCCCUCCCCAAAAUUGGACGCUCCCCACCCCCAUCCCCUUCCCCUUCCCGGUUCAGUCAAUGUCAACCUGGUUCCAUAGACCCAGUAUAAUAAGCCAGUCAUUAUGCAAUCACUGACCAGGUUAUAUCUGUGUUUUAUGUGGGCAGAUAUGAAUACAGUUCUGUUCCACCGCUCACCAAGAUGUGACCUUGGGCAAAAUUCUAUACCUCUGUCUUAAUUCAUAUAAAAUGUAUUCAGUGUGAAAAUCAAAAAUAACAUAUGCUUGAUUCUUUGAGGAUGUUAGCUGUCACAAGUACUGGAUAAGAAUUCUUGUAGUUAAAAUAAUUCUUUAAGAAACUGGAAGGCCCCUGUCCCUCUAGCUCUUUAUCACAGUUAUUAAAUUAGUUUAUUUCUAAUACAAAAUGGGUGAUAGUAAUACUUGGGUGAGGACUAAAAUCUGAUUAUAUUAUGAAGUCUUUCAAGCAUAAAAUUGAGCAAAUAGAAAAAUUUACUCACAGUGGAAAAAUGGAGUUGCUAACAAAAAAGUGAACUUUGCCUUUACAUAGAUUAAAUCCAUAGUCUACAAUUGAUAUUAGAAAGAUUUAGUUCUGUUUGUUUCUUUGUUUGUUUGAGACAGCGUCUCUGUAUAGCCCAGUCUGUCCUGGAAUUCAGCUCUAUAGACCAGGCUGGCCUUCAACUCAGAAAUCCACCUGCCUCUGCCUCCCAAGUGCUGGGAUUAAAGGUGUGGGCCACCAUGCCCAGAGGAAGGUUUAGUUCUAAGGGAUGAGGCAGUUCUCUAGAGCCUGGGCUGGUUAUUAAAUCUGGUGUCCACUCUAAUAACAGAAUGGUCUAUACCUCUGCAUAGAUGGUAAUUUUAACACUUAAUGGCAUUACUGCAGUAUGAAAACCAUUAUAAAACUUGUUUUAAGGAACUUUAUUGAUGAAGUUUGUUUAGUUACCUAUUAGUUUUUACAUUUUUCUGCUUUGUUAUGUUUUAUGGCAGAGAUUUUCAGAAGAUAAUAAUUUGACAAUCUAUGUAAUGAUCAGAAUGUUACAAAAUCAACUGAGGUCUUUGGCAAUUCUUACCCUCCAGCUUUGGAGUGAGGACAGUGUGGAGCAGGCUCAGUUUUAAAGCACUUAAGCUAACAGAGAAUUGGAAAGUAGUCUUUUGUUGAUCUUUUUCAAGACCCUGGCUUUUAGCCACUUGUAAUUAUUGUUUAUAGUACUUAAACUGUACAGAGUAUUUUGUGCAUUUCAUCCGGAAGUCUUUGGGUUAAUUCUGUUUUAAGUGUAAUAAAAGGAACACAGAGUUGGAAGACAGAGGCAGGUUAAAUCUUGACUUUAACGAAUUCCCCAAACCUUAGGAAUCUUUUUGUUUGGUUAGUUGGUUAUUUGUUUUGUGUUUUGUUUUUGGUUUGGUUUGGUUUUCAAGGCAAGAUAUCUCUGUGCAGCCCUGGCUGUCCUGGAAUUAGCUCUGUAGAUCAGGAUGGCUUCAAACUCAGAGAUCUGCCUACCUCUCCCUCCUGGGUGCUAUGAUUGAAAGUGUGAGCCCUCACUGCCUGGGUGCAAAUCUUUUAAAAUUAAAAAUGAUUGUGAAAAAUUAAAUGAUUGUAAUAUCUGUAAAGCAUGUACAAAAGUAUUUGUUUUACAAAUCAGAACGAACUUUCUCUUCCAAAUAAAGGGUUUAGGGCU
rnacentral:lncRNA from 1 species